AUGCAUAUGUCAAGUUGAAGCUGACAAACCUGUCAUUUCUCCCUGAACCAAUUAACGCCCCACCCCGCCUCCUCUCCUUUCACUCAUCACUGUCGGCUAACCUUGCAGUCCCAUUACACUGCUGAUCACGAUGAUGUGUCCUCCUUUCCUUUUCUUCAUGUCAGGCAUCACCUCCUUGAUCAUGCGGAUCACCCCGAAGAAGUUGGUCUCAAACACUUUCUUCAUCUCUUCAAUGGUGGUGCUUUCCACUGGACCCACUAGGCCAAUCCCUGCAUUAUUGACUGGCCAGGAGAAGACCAACAAGAGAAGAAAAAAAGAAGACAAGCAAGAAGCUGAGUAAUCAACAUAACUUUGGACAGUGUAGCAAUGCAUGGUGCCACAUGAUGAGCAUGAAUUUUACUUACUGAGAACAUCCACGUGUCGAUCUUUGAUACCAUUAAUACAUUGUUUGACUGACUCAUCGUUGCAAACGUCCAGUACAGCCAAAGAAAGAGUUUUCCCGUACGCAUCCCCGGCAGCUUCCACAAGCUUAUCUUUACGUUUCAGGUCACGCAUCGUUGCUAUCACUGUGAACAUGUGGAAAAGAAGAAAAAACAAAUAAUUGUGAGAAGCAGAUUGUUUGGCAAUGUCACAUUUACCUGAUGCUUUUAUCCAAAGCGACUUACUAUUGCUAUAUAUGUCAGAGGUCGCACGCCUCUGGAGCUACUAGGAGUUAAGUGUCUUGCUCAGGGACGCAUUGGGGGAUGUGUCACAGUGGGAAAUGAACCUGGGUCUUUAACACCAAAGGCAGGUGUCUUAUCCACUGCAACAUUGCCACCCCAAACACAUAUUCUGUCUCUGUCUAGCUUGUCAGAACAAACUGACUUAAGGAAAAUGCUUCACUGUACUAAUCAGCAAUGUAAAUGGAGCUGAAUUAAGCUUUAUAGAGAGCCAUCUGUAUCUGUUACUCACUCGGUUUUCGCAUAAUGUCUUUCUUUAGUAACUCUUUUUGAAACAUGCUCCUGUAGUUUUAUUUCCGCAUUUGGCUAGUUGACCACUUUGGUCCAGAUCAAAAUAUCUGAACUGCUAUUGGAUGGAUUGCCAUGACGUUUUGUACAGAAAGUCAUGGGCCCACGUAGGAUGAAAUGGAAUAACUCUGUUGAUCACAAAAUUUCUUAGUGCCAUCAUCAGGUCAACAAAUACGUCCAAAACUUUUGGUUUUGCAGAUUUGGUUUAAGAUCCAAUGCCUGCAAAACUAGUGACAUUCCCAUCAGUCUCAGCUGUUCUUUGUUUUUAGUGCUAAGUGUUUAGUCUUGUUUCAUCAUUGCUGUUUGCCAAUAGCCCUGUGUAUAAUUAUGCUCCUUUUAUUUCCAUGGGCAGCUUCCAAGUGAGAUUUUGUGAAUGGAUGUGAAUACUCCCUCUCUACCUGCAACUCCAGCACUACGCCUUCAGGCUACUGCUGUAAAUAGGAGUGAACGUAAAGAGUAAGAGAGAGUAAAGUUCACGAAGAACUGGGCAGGACCCAAAAAUACUGUUAAAGAGACAUGGGAUGAUAGUGCACCUACCGUGAUACCGCUUCUGGUCAUCGUUGGCCAGCAUCACGGCCAUCCUCAGGCCGAUACCGGAGGAACAGCCGGUGAUCAGCACCACUUUCUGUCCGGGACUCGCCAUGGCUCCGCUGCCUCUCCGCUCUCUUGUCACACUGAGACACCAGUAGACAGGCAGCUCUGCAGGUUGAGUGGUGAUUUGAGGUGAGAGCCACUGUAAGAGGAUAAGAGAGACAGAGAGAGAGAGUCACAUGGACAGAGCGCAACAAGACCGAGAUUAUCUAACCGGUACAAAGUCGGUUGUCCCUCUCGGUCCUGUGGAUGUCGUUGACAACUUUGUAAUUUUAUUCCAUGACGAGACAAUAAACCAUGGCUUUAGUCUUAAACUUGAUUUAAAACAAACUUCUGACUCAGUGACUUUUGGUUUCUGGCCAAUAAAAGUGUGAAGAACAAAUUGAAAAGGACCCAUUUGAUGCUACUUUUCGGUCUGUAGAAGUCAGUUUCUGCUCGGAAAAGAGAUUUGACGCCGCCCAGCGGUCAAUGCAAA